GCUGGCGUAGCUCAAUUGGCAGAGCAGCUGAUUUGUAAUCAGCAGGUUGCGGGUUCAAUUCCCAUCGCCAGCU
rnacentral:tRNA from 1 species